rnacentral:miRNA from 1 species
GACGUCGAUAUUCGACGACAGAAACACGAUCAACUUUCGUGUUUAUGACGUCGAUAUUCGACGACAUAAACACGAUCAACUUUGGUGUUUAUGACGUGGAUAUUCGACGACAUAAACACGAUCAACUUUUGUAUUUAUGACGUCGAUAUUCGGCGUCAUAAACACGACCAAAUUUGGUGUUUAAGACGUCGAUAUUCGACGUCAUCAACACGAUCAACUUUGGUGUUUAUGACGUCGAUAUUGGACGUC